rnacentral:rRNA from 1 species
GACGAACGCUGGCGGCGUGCUUAACACAUGCAAGUCGAACGGAAAGGCCCUGCUUUUGUGGGGUGCUCGAGUGGCGAACGGGUGAGUAACACGUGAGUAACCUGCCCUCGACUUUGUGAUAACUUCAGGAAACUGGGGCUCAUACCGGAUAGGAGCUCCUGCUGCAUGGUGGUGGUUGGAAAGUUUCGGCGGUUGGGGCUGGACUCGCGGCUUAUCCGCUUGUUGGUGGGGUAGUGGCUUACCAAGGCUUUGACGGGUAGCCGGCCUGAGAGGGUGACCGGCCACCAUGGGCCUGCGAGACGGCGCAGAAGCCUACCGGCGGCAGCGGUGGGGAGUAUUGCACAAUGGGCGGAAGCCUGUGGCGGCAGCGCUGCGUGCGUGAUGACGUCCUUCGGGGUGUAAACCGCUGUCGCCUGUGACGAAGCGGGCGUGACGGUAAUGGGUAAAGAAGCACCGGCUAACUACGUG